rnacentral:lncRNA from 1 species
UCAAUAGAAUGUGAAACCAUAUAUAAUAAUGGAUGAAGAAAAGAUUGAGAUGCGUCAAAGGUAUUUGUUUAAAAACAAACAAAUGUGUCAAAGGUAAUGGCCCUAAGAAAAUAAUUGUCCUGUUUCCUGUCUGUCUCAUUCGGUUACGUUAAACAAAUCAAAACCCAACCCAGGAAUGGGCAACACGUGCUACUCAGACAGCGGAGACUUUCAUCUGCCGAAAGACGUCUCUCAGCCACACGAAGUGGCUAAGAUUUUUACCCCCAUGAACUUUUGGUGCACUUCAAUUGACUGUUAGUUGACGGGAUAUUCAUUUACUUAGCUCUUAAUCCUUGCUUUCUCAAUUAUAUAAACCCCAGCUGAUCUUAAAUACAUUUCACUUCACCAAGACAAGGCAAAUAAGAAAAAAAGAAGAAGAAGAAGAAGAUGCACAAUCAUCCACCACAUCAGGAACCCCACCACCACGGGCCGCCACAUCACGACCCACAUCACCACGGGCCACCUCCGCCACACGCGCCUCCUCCAGGACCUCCUCCUCCUCCUCAUCAUCACCAUCAUGGUCCUCCUCCUCCCCCUCCUCUAUUAGGUCCCCAUCCACCUCCCCCGGGACCCCAUGGUCCACACCACCACCAUCCACCACCACCGCCUCACCACCAUCACUAAUCUAAAUUAAUGGGCAGAUAUGUUAAUAGUAAAGUGUGCUCUAAAUAAGCAGCUUGUGGUUUAUGUAUGCUUCUUGUUUUAAUUUGCUUGCUGUGAGAUGGUGCUGUGUUCUUAAGCUGUUUUCGUGUUAAUUUGUUUUAUCUAAUUAAUGCAAUUUUCUUUUUUUUUGUCCUUUAUUUCUUUUCUAUCUCAUUAAUUUCGUUCUGUCCUUUGCAUUUUAAUUUCUUUAAUCUUUUCAUACAUAAAUCUGGUUUCGAGCAUUGAUGGUUGAGGAUCAAGAUUAUUAAAGAUAUAUCAUGCUAGAAAAAUCAGAUCAAUUUAUCGAAGAUGUCCCUAAUUUAUUUAGACUGAAAAUUAACAAAAUUUGUUGGAAAUAAUUUUGCAUUUUUUAUUUAGUUUGGGUUCAAUGAAAGGAAUUCAUUACCUCUUGUGUAACUUUAUUUCUGUACUAGAUAAUAUCUCAUGCAAUGAUGUGGGUUUAACUAUCAUAAAUAUCUUGUAUAAGAUAGAUCUAUUUUUAAUUAACACUUUUCACUAACAAAAUCACCAAUAUAAUACUUAAAGAUUAGAAUAUGAUAAAUAGAAAACCUAGUUCAUAUAAAAAGAAAUAAAUACUAAAAAGAUAAAUGCAUCUAAAAUUCUAGUUUAUAUAAUACUGAAAAUAAAAGUUUGCAAUAUACAUCUAUAGUAUUUUUUAGUAUUCGUAAGUGCAUGAACAAUUUCUAUAGUAAGAGUAAAUUUACCACGAGGUCAAUGUCUCAAGGAACUAUGAUGUCACUUAUUAUAAAAACUAAUUAUCAACACAAAACAAUAAAAGUAAAUCUAAACAUUCUAAAUCAGUAUGUUGAGAGGAUAAUAUUCAUAAAAUAAAGUAAUUAAAUAAUAAAUAAAUAAAAAUACAAAUGCAAAUGCUUAUGGUUUAAAACUAUAUGCUAAAAAUAGUAUUUAGUUUAUUAAUUUUUUUGUUUUACUUUAAGCCUAGAUCUAAUGAAUGAGAUGGUAAUGUGCAUUUUUCCCUAAGUUACUCAAACUAACGGUGCAACCUAAGUUUCUUAUACCAACAUAGAUUAAAGUAAAGAUGAUGUUUCUAAUACUUUUAACCUAAAGAUUUUUAUAAUAAUUACUAUUGCUAAAUUAAUAUAAUGGUUAACUAACAAUAAUAACUGAAACUAAUAAAGAUAUAAAGGUAAAGAAAUUAUUCAUUAAAUAAAUAAAUAAAUAAAUAAAUAACAAGAUUCGUAUAAAAGUGAAAAGACUAAACUAAACACUUAUGAAAACUAGCCUAACAUAUUUAACUCAAUGAUCAUGUUAUUAAAUAGAAAGACAUAAAGCAAUAAAGUAAAAAGUUCCCUCUAGAUCUAGGAUUUUUCAAGUAGAAAGAAGAUUGGUCUUUAGUCUCUACUUCUUGAAAAGCUCAUUAGAUCUCAGAAAAACCAUGAAAACUAAGACUAAAUGUUUAUAGAAAAUUGUAGAGAAUUAUGGAGAUAAUAAUGAUAGGCAGGUGUAGAGAGCAGAUAGGAGAAAACUCUCCUCUCUCCUUUUGGUAUUAAGUUUGCAGAGAUAUAUAUAGAGAAGAGUCCUCCUUUAUAUAGAUCUUCCUAGAGAUGAGUAUACUAAUAUAAGUCUAUCUAAUAGAUAAGACUUUAAGUAUUUUUAUCUCCACCAAAUACUAUCCUAUAGAUAACUCUUAAUAUAAAUCCUAAUAAUUAUACAAAAUGACUAAAAUGUCUCUUAGACUUUGUAAUUAGCAGCCCAUACGUCUUAAUCUUGGGCCUUCACAUGAACAUGCCCAAUUAAACCUCUUUUCGAGUGUUUUUUUGCUAAUAUUCCUGAAAAUAGACAAUUAAACUUAUGUGAGGUAAAAACACAUAUUUUCACAAUUUUAUAUAUAGAAAUAUAUCAUUAAAACUCUAAAAUACCCUUAAAUAUUUAUAUAUAAUUUGGACUGAUAACUUAUCUAGUUUAUCAUUAUUUGUAAUCAAAUCAUAAAAGUUAAAACGUAUCUUACCAUUAAAAGUCUUGAUUCAUAAUCAUUCGGUCAACUCCAUUUUGAUUAGCCAUUAUUAUCAUAUUGUUGAUAAUUUCAAUUUAGAGUUUAAUGACUCAUAAUUUUAUUAUUUGAUUGUCAAAUCGUAGUUUAAGAAGUCAUUAAUCCAAUGAAAUCGAUUUGUCAGACAAAUAACAAUAUUUUAAAUUGUUGAGCUCUAAAUCCAUAUUAUCAACACAAAUAAUAUGAUAAUGAAAGUUGUUUGAAGUAAAUAUGACUAAAUUAUUGCCAAUUGACUUUUUUAAUUGUAAUGAUAUUUUUUAUCAUAAUUUUUAACUACAUAUUUCUUUUUACUUGAAAAAAUUACAUAUUGAAAUCUAUUAAAUAAUAAAAUCACAUGAUACUUUUUCUUUGUGUACUUAUCUCUAAUUUUAUAUAAAUUCAUAUUACAUUUCAAGAAAGUUAUAGACUGAAAUCAGAGAUUGGAUGGACAUCCGAAACAGAGAGGAAAAAAGGAAGGACACAAGACUAGCUCACUAAAGAAAGCUUUGCAACUACGCUUUUUAUUGAUAUUGCAACACAAGUAUUCAAUUAUUUCGUACUUGUUUAGUGUUGAAUGAUUGAUAAUUAAAAUAAUAAUAACAUACGUAUAAUAUGUAGGUAAAUAAUUAGUUAAUUAUAAUUUAUUUAUUUUCUUAGUAAGAUAACAAAUUAAAUUCUUAUAAUUUAUAAGACUGUCUUGUAAUAUCCGUGAAUUUAAAUUUUAAUUGCUUUAAUUUUUAUCGGGAGUAAUUUGGUAAAUUUUUAUAUUAGUAUUACAUUAAAUAUUGAUGAGUUAAUUAUUUUACAUAUAUAAAUAAAUAAAUAAUCAAAAAAUAAAUAAAUAAUUAGGUCAAGGGUGUCAUUAUAGCAACUUCUUGAACGGGAAUCCAUUUGUAUUUUUUCAUUUUUUAUUAUAAUAAAAAACAUAACAAUUUUUUUUCCUUCCCCUUCUUCUUCUCUCUCCUAGUCACCCUCUUUUUCCUUCUCCCUCACUCCCUCUCAUUUCCGCCGCCGCUGCUGAUUCUUCUCCUCUCCCCUCCCUCGCCGGCGACGCCAUCUGUCAUUGACCCGAUCUGUGGGUCUGUGACCGGCACUAGGGAAUGGGUAGGCGUAAGGCUACUGAAUCCCGUAGUAAGACUGACCAAUCACUAACUUUAUCAAAUCUUAAUCUAAUAGUACUAAUCCAUAAUCAACCUUAACCAUCAGGUUCUACAUAUUUAGAAUGUAGACUGCCAGUAUGAAUAGGCAAGACCAAAAGUUACAUGAAAUUGCAAAAUGAAAAAAAAUCUGAAAUUUCUACUGCGGAGAUUCUAGAAUUAUAAAAGUCAAUAUACCAAUAACAUAUUAAUUACAUUAACCCGAAGACGAAGGAAUCGGGCUGCUAGAUGAAAAGCACUGCGGAAAAAUUGACCACACCUAAAAAAUAGUAAAAUUGAGACUGUCAGUCUUAGGAGUGAGUUAAAAUCAUAUAUCCAAAAAUAAUUACAAACACUUCAAUAACACAUUUGUUUAAUUUAAAAUAAACAUUAAGUCAUGCAAAAAUAUACACGUCAUGCCAUGCUUAAAUAAAAAUAAAUUUCACAGACUACGGGAUUGAGUACUUCAGUAGAACCCUAAUUCUCAUUGCUAAACAGUCUCAGCCUUUCGACUCUCUCUUUUCCAAUAGGACUGGCGCCAAGAGAGCAAAGCUCGACCAGGGUCCUUAAAUCCAGUCUGGUCACUUAAUUUUCCAACUAAGCCAGCGCCCAGAGAGCAAUGCUCGACCAGGGACCUUUGCUCUGACAACUCACUCUACUCAGCCUAGAGAGUUAAACUUAACCAAGGCAAACCCUAAACCAUUCUCCUAUUACCUGACUCAAAAUUCAUACCGAUGCGCACGCGGUCCUGAUGUAACACGUUCUAUUGCUGUCUCAUCCCGAGUCAACAUGCAAUUACAAUAGCCAUAAUGCAGAAAUGAAACAUAUAUAAACAGUAAAUAAANNNNNNNNNNNNNNNNNNNNNNNNNNNNNNNNNNNNNNNNNNNNNNNNNNNNNNNNNNNNNNNNNNNNNNNNNNNNNNNNNNNNNNNNNNNNNNNNNNNNNNNNNNNNNNNNNNNUUAAUCAUUUAAUCAGAGAUAUCACGUAAAAAAAAUUUUAGCAUGACACGCGUAAGCAGAUAUAUAACUUUAACUCACAAUUAUGACGACCUCCUAGCUCUGCUCCGAUGCCUCGGGUGGAGCGAGCCGAACUAACGGAUUUAUCUAAUCAUGGAAAUAAUUUAAUCAGAAAAAGUAAAACAAUUGACAAUUAAACCUAGGCUUACACUCCUAGGAUUGAUUGUCUAAAAAUUUUCGACUUGGAUAAAUUCUACCGAAAAUUCUGUAGAACUUCCCUUAAAUUACCGACAUUUACCUCUCGUAUAACGAGUCUAGAACCUGCCAUAACACACUUCAAAUAUACAAUGAUAAAUUAACGGGAGUCGGGUCACCAAAACUGUAUUAAUUUUUUCGACUCCGCAACACAACACAAUCACGACUAUUGGCAGACAGUCUGACAAAUCAUUUAUUUUAACUAAUAAACCUCAUAUAACUUUUCUAAAAUUCCACACAACAGUUAAACACAUAAAUUUUAUCAAUGAAUUCUAAAAUCAAUGGGCUAGAGAAUUACCGAGAUGCUUGAUCGCUCGGUUGACUCGCCUCCAGCCGUUGGAGUCCGAUCGACGAUCCGAACGCGCCAAUGGAUUCAAAAUAAUGCGCUGAUGACGAUCAUAGCUUCCGAAUUCGACCCUCGAUCAUCCAAAGAGAUUUACAGACGAUCUCGGCCGUCGAUUUUCAAAUGGAGUCCGAUCGUCACGAAACCGUUGCCAUUGGAAAGCUUGAGCUGAGGAGAGUUCGGAUAUGUCCUGUGAUCGGCCAUCCCUCGCUGGAUAAGCCAAAAACUCCGGAUGCCCCCCAUUUUCUCUCUCCACCGCAACUACCAACUCCGGCCACCAAAUGCGACACCACCACCGCCAAAAUGAAGCUCAGGCCGAGGGGAGUCGAUCGCCAUCCGACUCGGCCGCCAAAGCCGCCGGAAACGCCAUGCAUGGCAUUGACAGCCGGCGUCUCCUCUCUUUUCUCUCUUUUUUUUCUUCGUCUUGUUGCCGCCAGCGCCGGCUCUUCCUCUAGCUACCACCACCGCACCUCGAGCUCGGCGGACGGCAGCUCCUCCUCUCUCCCUCUUCCUUCUUCCCCGACACUAUCUUCUUCUUCUCUUUCUUUUCUUUUCUUACUUAUCGCAUUUAAUCUCUAAACUUUUCUUCUUUACCAUUUAAUCCCUCAACUUUUUAAUUACUAACAAUUUCGCCGAGCAAAAUUUUCUAUUAAUCCUUAAAUUUUUCUUUAGCUUUUCAAUUAAGCCCCUAACUAUUUAAUUUAGGUCAAAUUAAAAUUAUUGAAAAUAUAUAAUUAUUUAAUCCUUAUUCAAAAAUAAAUUUUCAAUUUAAUCCUAACACACAAUUAGUUUAAUUAAUCAAUUUGCUAAAUAUUUUCCAAUUAAAGUUAACACCAUUAGCUAAUUAAAAUGCCAUUUCCCUAAUAAUUCUUUUAUAAAAUAUUCUUUACUAUUUCUUUCAUAACUUUCAAUAUAGAAAUUAAUUUAUAUAUUCAUAUUAGAAAAAAAUUGAAUGACCGAAAAUAUAAUCCAUUUUUCAAAGAAUUUACUUUAACUAACUUCUUAAAAAUUAAUCAAAUUAGAUAUACAAAAUAACUCCCUUAUGUUGUCUAGCAUUAAAAUUAUAUUUAAAUCAUUCCAAUUAAAUCAGAUAAAAAAAUAAAGUAAAAUUAAGUUAAAUAGAAACUCGUUAUUAAUCAUUACUAAUAUUAUUAUUAUUAAAAGAAAAAAUUUCGGGUAUUACACCAUCUUCUCCUCCUUCCUUGUUGUUGUCGAUGAUUUGGAGGAAGGAAAGUCUCCUCCUGCACUGCCGAUGCGAGACUAGCUGCUUGCAGUCCACCUACCACUUGUAUGACGUUGGAAGCGAGCUCCCCACCGUCGACAACCCCAAGUCAGCUCUUCCCCGCUAGCUUUCCUCCGCCAGCAGCCUCCGCAUAGCCUUACUAGAGCAGAUUUUCCUCCUACACGAUCUAGCAUUUUUCGACAACAGUUAGGUUGUGAUUUUAGUGUUUUUGAACUCUUCGCAACUUAAGCUUUGCAUAGGCGUCUUCGGAUUCGAAAUUCGACACCAUUGGCAAUACCAUCUCGGACCCUGGUAUUUCCCGGAUGCGUAGAAAUUCAGGUUUCAGCUCAGUAUAAAUUUAUUUAAACGUUGAAAAUUAUUAAAAAAUUAUUGAUGUAUUAAUUGUUAGUUAUAAUUAAUUAAUUAAAUUAUUUAAUUAAUUAGUAGUCUAAUCUUAGAAUUACUGCAAAUUAAUUAUAGGAGUUAAUAUUCUGUUAUGUAAACUGAGUCUGUGAUUAAUUAAAUUAAAUGCGAAGAAAAUUGUGUGAUUGUGUCGGAAACAAUAUUAUUAUUUUUGUCAAACUAUUGAUUUUAUAUUGUGAUUUACGUUGUGUUGCAAAAUCGGAAAAUAAUACAGUUUGGGUGGUCCGACUCCCGUUAAAUAAUUAUAGAAUAUUUGAAGUGUUUCUAGCAGGUUCUGGACCCGUUAUAUGAGGGUUAAACAUCCGUAUUUUAGGAGAGAAUUUUUGGUAGAAUUUUAGAGUCGAAAUUUCUUAGGCAGUUUAAUCUAGGAGUCUAGGCCUAGAAAAAAUUAUGAGUAUCUUAUUAAUUGAGUUAUUUUUGUGAAUAGAUAGUCCGUUCGUCCAGCCAUCUCCACCCGAGGCGUAGGAGUAAACUACGGAGCGCGGCAGAACUGUGAGUUAAAGUCCUAUAUCCUCUAUACACGUGCCAUGCCAAUUUUUUAUAGCAAUUUCGAUUAAUAAUUAUUAUGUAUAGUGUUAUCAUCGUAUUUAUAUAUAUAUUUUGUCAUGGUGGACAUUUCUGAAAUUUUUUAUUAAUUCUUAUUCUAUAUUUAAUUAAUUGAUUUAUAGAUCUAAAUUAUUUAUUUAUUAUUUAUCCAAUUGACUGAUUUAUAAAUUUUAGAUUAGUUAUUUAUUAUUCAUCUAAAUAAUCAUUUUAUGAAAUUAAUUCUCUAUUUAUUAUUUAUUUAAAUAAUUAAAUUUACAAUUUAUGUGAUGUUCAAUAUUAUUUAAAGUUAUUGAAUAAUAGUUAAGCUGCUUGCUAUUUAUAUAUCAUUUUCCGCAAUAAAGAUAUUAUGAUUGCAUAUUAACUCGGGAUGAGGCGGCAGUAGAACAUGCCACCUGAUGGGUUGCAUCAGAACCGUGUGCGCACCGAUAUUAAUUAGAGAUAGGUAGUAAAAAAAUAUUUUUGGAUUUGCCUUAGUCGAGUUCAACUCUCUAAGCUGUGAGAAUUUGAUUGCGAGAGGAAAGAUCUCUGGUUGAGCGUUGCUCUCUGGCAUUGACUAUAUUGGGAAUCAAGUGACCAAGCUGGAUUUAAGAACCUUGAUUGAGUUUCGGUCUCUAGGCGCCAGUUCUAUUGGAAUAAGAGAGUCGAAAGGGUGUCAGUAUUGGGGUUAGGGUUCUGCUGAAGUGCUCGUCCCUUAUGCGUUAAAAAUCAAUUAUUUUAAAUUAUGCCAUGACUUACUUAUUAUUUUGUGAUGUUCCACCUUAUUUUAUCAACCAUUGCAAUCAGACAUUUAUGGCUGCUUUAUUGCAGAUAUAUGAUUUUAAUUUAAUUUCGAGACUGACAGUCUCAAUUUUAAAUUUUUCAGAUGAUAGCUAGGUUCUCCACCGACUUCUUUUUUAGCCCGACUUUCCUUUUUCCUUCAGGCUUAUUGUAAUUAAAUCUUAAUUUUGUAUUUUAAAUUAUUUGAUAUUCUCGACUCUCUGUAAUAGUGUACUUGUAUCUUACAUUUUAAUUUGGUUUGUUAAAAAGGAUAAUUGCUACUAAUCUAGCUGGAGGAUCAAUUUAAUUCUAUGCAGAUUUGUAAGUGAAACGUUAUUUUUUUUAAUAGUUUACAAUCAUGUAUACGUUUAUUUAAAUCUUUGACUAUUUAGGCUUGCUACGGGUUUCGGUGACCUUAAGCCUACUCAUUUUCUAGUUCUAGCGCUGGUCACGGGCCCACAGAUUGGGUCGUGAGAGUCCCUAUAUAUUAAAAUUUUGGAAUGUGUUUAUUUUAUCAAAAUCUAUAAAAUACUCAACUUAAAUUCUUAAUGAAUUACUGAAUUUAGUGAUAUUAAUCUUACUUUUUUAUUAUAUAUAUAUAAUUUGCCAAUUUCAGUUUCAAAAUAUAAGAAGUUCAAUAGACGUUUUAUUUUUCUUAAAAAAUAAAACUUUUUAUUCACUACAAUAUAUUUUUUAUUGAUAUUAAGAUUUAAAAUAUUAAGAGCACAUAGAUGAGAUGAUAAAGUCUCUUUUAGUGUGAUUAAAGUAUCGAGUUUAAAUUUUAAAUAUGUAGCUGUGUUAAAACUCUUGAGAGAGUUUUUUUACUAUUCGUAAAAAUCAUAAUGAUAUGCUCCAGAUUAACUUUAGAUGUAUGUAUAUAAAAAAAUAAGUAGAAUUUAAAAUCAUCACUUUCUAUUUUCUCAAAAAAAAGAAAGGAAAAAAAUAACAAAAAUAUCCAUAUUUUUUUAUUUUUUAUCAAAAUUACGGUGUAUUUUUUAUUUUAUUUUUACAGUGUGAAAAUAUCAAAAAUAUAAUUUAUUUAAAAAAUAUAGUAUUAAUUGUUUUUUUAUUUUUUUUAGUUGUUAAAAAUAACUGAAAGAUAACCAUACCAUAUUCUUUAAAAAAUAACAUUCUUCUUUAAAAACUUACAUAAUAAAAAUAAUAUUUUUUAUUGGUUAUAAUGUAUUUCUGAAAAGUUCCUACAAAGAAAAGUCGUUAUUACCUCCAAUUAAAUGAACCAAAAAAUUUCAGAGUCCAUAGCCAGCCAUUAAUUGAUAGGCCUAAUAUAAAACAGAACUGCGUAAAGGGCCUACCUUCCCUAAUCGGUCUAUUAUACAUGAAGCCCGGUAGAAAACGAAUCAUUUAGACCAAACCAACCCAACUUCCUGGUUCGGCGAGUGAGAAUUGACAAGUAGAAACAAAAUCCCUCUCGCACUAGUUUCUGAAAAACCCCUCUAAACCUCUCAGUAGCUCCUGCUUUCUUUGUUUCCUGUGUUCAGGUACCAUCUUCUGCCUCUUUUUUUUUUUUUUUUUCUCUUUCAUUUCUGUAAUCUGCGUGUUUACUCGUUUGCUUACUGUUAUCCAUGUUUGCAUUCCUCAAUUUUAGGUCUGAUUUUGAUUCAGUAUCCGUUUAAACCGCGAAUUUCAUACCUUUUAGCUGUUGAUACAGUGAACAAUUAACCUUAGAAACCCUAGAAUAAGCCAAACAGAACUUGAAAUAUAUAUAACGACAAAGAAAUGGCCCAUGCGAGAUUUAUUCUUUUAGCUGCUUGAGGAAAUCAAUGACCACUUUUGUUUUUUCUUUCCUUGAAUUGUGAUUUUAGUUAAUUGCUACAUUAGCUCACUAAUUACUCGCUUGAUUAAACCAUGUGACAGAUUUAAUUAAAACAACCAUGGAUGAUAAUCUAUAUGAUGAGUUUGGAAACUACAUUGGUCCGGAAAUCGAGUCUGACCAAGAUAGUGACCGUGAGGAAGAAGAAGAUGAAGAUCUUCCAGAGAAGCCUCACGAAGAUCAUGAUAUGGUGUCUGAUGGUGAUGAGGAAAUUAAUGGUUCGAAUGGAUGGCUUACCACUUCUAAUAAUGAUGUUGAUAUGGAUAAUCAGAUUGUUCUUGCUGAAGACAAGAAAUAUUAUCCGACUGCUGAAGAGGUUUACGGUGAAGAUGUUGAAACUUUAGUUAUGGAUGAAGACGAGCAACCUCUUGAACAACCUAUUAUUAAGCCUGUGAGAAACAUCAAGUUUGAGGUUGGUGUUAAGGAUUCGUCGACUUAUGUGUCUAGUCAGUUCCUUGUUGGUCUCAUGUCGAAUCCUUCUUUGGUUCGUAAUGUUGCUCUUGUGGGUCAUUUACAACAUGGGAAGACCUUAUUUAUGGAUAUGUUGGUUGAGCAAACACAUCAUAUGCCUACAUUUGAUAUGAACAGUGAGAAGCAUAUGAGGUAUACAGAUACAAGGAUUGAUGAGCAAGAAAGAAGGAUAUCUAUUAAGGCAGUUCCAAUGUCGCUUGUUCUUGAAGAUAGUAAUUCAAAAUCAUACCUUUGUAACAUCAUGGAUACUCCUGGUCAUGUUAACUUCUCUGAUGAAAUGACUGCUGCUCUUAGGAUUGCUGAUGGUGCUGUGUUGAUUGUGGAUGCGGCAGAAGGAGUUAUGGUGAGUAACAUUCCUUAGGCAAAAAGGUUGAUAAAUUACCAAGCUGGAUUGUGGUUUAGCUUACCUCUGCUGAUAAACUUGUAAAAUCAUGGAUUUAUUUUUUAUUUUAUUAUUUCUUUUACAAAUAUAAUAUGAGUAUUGCAUCUAAAUGUUUUUACUGCUGAUAUUAUACCUGUAUGGCUACAUGGGCAAAGGAAUUUUCUGCCGCUAUAGUAUUUGGGUGGACAAGACUGACAAGGCUACUUAGCUAAUUUUUUUUUUUUUAUGAUGUUAUAUUAGUUGUACAGUUGCUUUUUAUGAAUUCUGUUUGAACACACUAUAGCUAUGUUUAUGUAAUUUGGUAUUUUAAAUGUGCAGGUAAAUACAGAGAGGGCCAUACGCCAUGCAAUCCAGGAGCGCUUGCCUAUCGUAUUAGUGAUCAAUAAGGUACUCUUUGUGAAUAAACAUCUUCGUUGAUCCCUCCAAUUGAACUCUUAUAUCUUAGCAUCACUUAUUUUGUUUUUGUUUGAAGGUUGACAGGUUAAUAACAGAGCUUAAACUGCCCCCAAAGGAUGCUUACCAUAAGCUUAGGCAUACGCUUGAAGUUAUUAAUAACCACAUAACUGCUGGCUCUUCAACUGCUGGAAGUGUCCAAGUUAUAGAUCCGGCUGCUGGGAAUGUUUGUUUUGCAAGUGCUAAUGCAGGAUGGUCCUUCACUUUGCAAUCAUUUGCUAAACUAUAUCUCAAACUCCAUGGCAUCCCAUUUGAUGCUGACAAAUUUGCAUCUCGUCUUUGGGGAGAUUGGUAUUAUCAUCCAGAUACCAGGGCUUUCAAGAAAAAAUCCCCUGCAAGUGGAGGUGAAAGAUCCUUUGUCCAUUUUGUGCUGGAGCCCCUCUACAAGAUAUAUAGUCAAGUGAUUGGAGAACACAAGAAGAGUGUGGAGGCUACUCUUGCUGAGCUUGGUGUCACUCUCCCCAAUGCAGCUUAUAAAUUAAAUGUUAGGCCUUUGCUAAGGCUGGCAUGCAGCAGAGUUUUUGGCUCAGCCUCAGGCUUUACUGAUAUGCUGGUUCAGCAUAUACCUUCUGCUAAGAAUGCUGCAGCUAAAAAGGUUGAUCAUGUAUACACAGGGCCAAAAGAUUCAACAAUUUACAAGGCCAUGGUAGAUUGUAAUCCUUCUGGCCCAUUAAUGGUUAAUGUGACCAAACUGUAUCCCAAGUCCGAUUGCAGUUCCUUUGAUGCUUUCGGUAGGGUUUAUAGUGGUCAAAUUUUGACAGGACAGUCUGUAAAAGUGUUGGGAGAAGGCUAUUCACCAGAUGAUGAGGAGGACAUGACUGUAAAAGAAGUGACAAAAUUAUGGGUAUAUCAAGCUCGGUACAGGUUACCAAUAAGUAUGGCACCUCCUGGCUCUUGGGUUCUCAUUGAAGGCGUGGAUGCUUCAAUUAUGAAAACGGCAACACUCUGUAAUGUGAAUUAUUCCUAUGAAGAUGUUUACAUAUUCCGGCCUCUUCAAUUCAAUACUCUUCCAGUUGUGAAAACUGCUACGGAGCCACUCAAUCCAAGUGAAUUGCCAAAAAUGGUGGAGGGUCUAAGGAAGAUCAGUAAAAGCUAUCCUCUAGCCAUCACAAAAGUUGAAGAGUCUGGAGAGCACACAAUUCUUGGUACUGGAGAGUUAUAUUUGGAUUCUAUAAUGAAGGACCUUAGAGAGCUCUACUCUGAAGUAGAAGUCAAGGUGUGCACGUCUGCUCCAUAUUGCUUUAUGUGCUUCUUUUCUUCUAUAAAGUUUUCCACCUGCUUCUCUGUCUGUAAUUUAUUAUAUAAUGACUUCUCUGUGUUGAUGGUUACAUGUCCAUUUGUUCUAAUGCUUGAUCUGACAUUUAGGUGGCAGAUCCUGUUGUCUCUUUUUGUGAAACAGUGGUUGAGUCUUCAUCAAUGAAAUGUUUUGCUGAAACACCCAAUAAGAAGAAUAAAAUAACCAUGGUAAGGAAGUUAUUUUAUUUCAUCUCAGUGCCUUGGAGAAUCUUUUUCUAUGUUUCUUGAAGGAAUUUUAGAUUCUUAGUUAAUUAAACUCUUCGUAGAUUGCAGAGCCAUUGGAGAAAGGGCUUGCUGAAGACAUUGAGAAUGGGGUUGUAAGCAUCGAUUGGAACCGUAAAGCACUUGGUGAUUUCUUCAAGACAAAAUAUGACUGGGAUUUGCUUGCAGCACGAUCCAUAUGGGCAUUCGGCCCUGACAAGCAGGUACGAUAUUGCUGAUCAAGCUACUGCAGCUUUAUCUUUUCCAAAUUAUCUUCAGUGAUAUGAACCUUUUUGUGUUCAUGUGUUUUACAAUUGUGUUCUGAUGAAAUAUCCAACUAUUGGAGUCAUGUUUGGCAAAAUUUGAUACUUGCAGGGGCCUAACAUUUUAUUGGACGACACACUACCUAGUGAAGUUGACAAAACAUUGCUGAGUGCUGUCAAAGAUUCUAUUGUUCAAGGGUAACCUGAAUUUGUUUUCACGAAUUCUCAUUGCUCUAACUUGCCGCCUGCAAUUAAAUGUUUUGUGCUUUUAUGGCCAGUUUUCAGUGGGGUGCACGAGAAGGACCACUAUGUGACGAACCAAUCAGAAAUGUUAAGUUCAAAAUAGUUGAUGCUAGGAUUGCACAGUUACCACUGGAUAGAGGAUCUGGUCAGAUUAUUCCCACUUCCCGACGAGUCGCCUAUUCAGCCUUUCUGAUGGCAACCCCUCGACUCAUGGAACCAGUAUACUACGUGGAGGUAUGCACUUGCCACAUCUAUAUAACAAAAAUUAACAUGCAUUUUUAGGGAAGCAUAUAUGAGGUUUGCAUUUGCUAUUACAUAUUCUUUUAACGUACUAUUAAGUUGAGAAUCUCGUGAACCUAGUUUUGUUUUUGCUAUUAAUUUGUCAUGCUGUUGUUUCAGAUACAAACACCAAUCGACUGUCUCUCUGCAAUAUAUACAGUGUUAUCUCGUAGACGUGGACAUGUUACAGCAGAUGUUCCUCAGCCUGGGACUCCAGCUUACAUUGUGAAGGUAAGCUAUAGCUAAGCUUUUUCUGCAUCUCUAGAUGAUUUUAUAGAGUUUUUUGUCAUUAAAUAUUGUUUGACGGCCCGCAAUGAGACAGAACAAUUGCUGAUGACUACUAAAAACCUUACAAGUAAAGCAGGGUAUUCGAGAAAUCACACACCUUGUCCAGCUCAGAAUAUGGGAGCUGAAUCUUUUUUUUUUUUCAAAAUCUCGUUUUCGCUGUUUGAUAUAUUACGUGGUUCAAAUUUAGUUCUCUUUCAAAUUUAUUUAUUUAUUUCUUAACUUCUUAUUUGGGGAGGUUCUUUUUAAAAGAAAAAAAAAACUUGUGGUUCCUUUUGUUCUAGCAUUCUUAAUCUUUAACUUAUAGGUGUAAAAUCUGUGUGAUUGAGUUUACAGGAUUUACAGCUGUCACUUGUAAUAGACAUGUUUGAUCACUGACCCUCAUAGACUUGUACAUGCUUGAAUGUUUAUUUUAUUUCUUCCAUUUUAAUCUUUUUUCCUUGUACAACUGCAUUUCAGGCAUUUCUACCUGUAAUAGAGUCAUUUGGUUUUGAGACGGACUUGAGGUACCAUACCCAAGGGCAAGCAUUUUGCCUUUCAGUCUUUGAUCAUUGGGCCAUAGUACCUGGAGAUCCCCUUGACAAGAGCAUAGCUCUGCGGCCACUCGAACCCGCACCAAUUCAGCACCUUGCUCGCGAAUUUAUGGUAAAGACAAGGCGUCGCAAGGUAUAGCCAGACUGCCCUCUUUCUGUCAUCCAUCUCUUGCUUCUGUCAAAUAUUCAGUGCUAAGUUUUCUAGCUCUUGAAAUUUUAGAGUGAAUGAUGCCUUGAAGCACAUUAUUUUUGUUUUAGCUGCAUGUUAAUGGUUUGUUGAAAUAGGAUGAAUCCCACAACUGCAUGGUAAUAAUUUUGCUUUGAAUUAUAUUAUCGCAGGGAAUGAGUGAAGACGUUAGCAUAAACAAGUUCUUCGAUGAGGCUAUGGUGGUGGAGCUUGCUCAUCAAGCAGCUGAUAUUCAUCAACAGAUGAUAUGAUGUUUCCUAUAUGUGUGCAUGCUUGGCGGAGAAAUGCAGCUGAAGGAUGUUGCAACAGUGAUUUUAUUCUUAGCACUUCCUGUCCAAACCUUGAUUUGAGAUGAUGACAGUUAGAUAUCAAAUGUUGAGCUGCUAAUUGUAGAAGAAUACUAACGCACCCUCAACCUCACUUUUAAUGUUCCUGAUCCGAUGGGCUUUGCCAUACGCACUAUUAGCCAAAAAGCGCUGAAAGAACCAUAAGUUUUGCAUUUUAUGUAGUUCUGUAUUAUUCAUUCUUCGAAAGUAUGCAAUUUGUAGGAAAUCUGUCCUACUUCUGUAAUGUCUAAAUUUGCUAUAUUGUUUCUAUUACGUGCUUUUGUUUUAUUUAUUUUAGCUUGUACGGUCCAAGAAUCUGACAAUGAAAGUAGCGAAAAACAUUCUCCCAACUUGAGCCGAAUGAAUUUCCCAUUGUUUGUCAGCAGUGAGUGAAAGAAUGAUACUAGUUAGUUAUAAUGUCUAUACUCCCUCAGCCCUUCCCAGCCAUCAAAAAGAAUAAGACCGAUCCUUUUUUCUUUUCUCAAAGCAAAAUUCUCCCUGAUUGUCAAUAUUGUCGGACAAGAGUGAACAGACACGAUGUCGAAAUCUCUGAAAAUGUCAACUAUGUUACUAAUUUAUUCUACUUUUGCAAAGAGAAAUAUUAACCGCCAAAUAUAUAUAUUUAGAUAUUUGAAUUUAGAUUAUUCGAUCAUUUUAAUGUCUUAACUUGAUAGAUAUUUUAAUUUAUAUUUUUUAUAAUAUUUAAAUAUUUUUUAAUAUAUAUUUUUAUUCAACACGCACACUCAUAUUAUUUAUAAAUGUUUUAAAGUUGUCAUAUGUCAAAUUAAAUUGAAAAUUAUAAAUUAUAAAAUUAUAGUUUAAAUAAUUAUUAGAUUAAAUUAAAAAUUUAAAAAUUUAAAAAAUUAAAUAAUCAAAAUUCAAGUCUCUAACUAUCCAUUGUGUGAGUACUGAUUAGAACUUAAAAGCAGAGCUUACCCUUUUCUACCGUUGUUGGCCGGUAAAUCCCCGAAAUCUCAAGGGUUCUUCACAAAAAGUAGAAGGUAUUUGCGCCUCUAGCUGAUACAAGUCAAAGUCAAAUAUCACACACGCUAGUAAGCUCUUCUAUCUAUUCCAUGCAUGCCCAGUUCCGGAUCUUGAGGGAAAUACAAAUAAUCUCAUUGUCUUAAAACAAUCGAAUUGUAAUAAAAUUUUAAAACUAAUGAAAUAUUUGUAUUUCAUUAGUUCCCUUUCUUAUCAGUUUCUUCCUUUCUUUCUGUGUUUCUACAGUGUAUUUGUUUCUCUGUUCAAGACUAUAUCAAAAAAAGAAAUGAACUUAUUGGCAAGAUAAGAAAUUAACUUUCUGGGAUUAGAUUCAGAUCUUGCAAGAAUAGGGUUGCGGUAUGCUUCUCCUUCUGCUUCUUACUCAUACCCCGAUUUCAAAAUCUUGCAUUUCUACCCGUUACCCUUUUCUUCCUUCUUUAUGAUUACAGUUUCUUUCAUUCUUUUUUUUUUUUUAAUAAUUUGUUGAUGGUAGUUAUUACAUCUGUUUAAGCUGGGAUCUUUAUUUAUGAUCAAUCACACUCGAACAAAAAAUCUCUCUCUUUCUCUCUCUCUUUCUCAUGUCAUUUCUUGAAUUCUUGAUUCUUCAACUAUAUUUGUAGUAUCAAACAACAAUGACUCUACCUCCAGCACUUUACCUAUUCCCCUCUCUUAAUCCUCCGCACAAAACCAUCGCUUUCCACAAAUAUCUCGUCCUUCUCAUCACUUUUCUUGCUUAUGCCUCUUUCCAUGCCUCAAGAAAGCCACCAAGCAUUGUCAAGAGCGUUCUUGGACCCAACAUUCAAUUAAAUUCUUCAUUGGCUGAAUCCAAUGCAGUUUCAUUAGAAUCCAAUUCAAGUUCCACUGAUACUGGUUGGGCUCCAUUUAAUGCCUCUGAUGGGACUCGCAGGCUUGGGGAGCUUGAUCUUGCAUUCUUGUUAUCCUAUUCGAUAGGAAUGUAUUUUGCUGGACAUGUAGGGGAUAGGAUUGAUUUGAGGUUGUUUCUUGUUUCCGGAAUGAUGGGUAGUGGUAUUUUAACUAUUGCUUUUGGGUUAGGCUAUUGGUUUAAUGUACAUUUUUUAGGUUUUUUUCUGGGUGUGCAAUUCUUGUGUGGUUUAUUUCAGUCAAUUGGGUGGCCUUGUGUUGUGGCAGUUGUUGGUAAUUGGUUUGGAAAAGCAAAGAGAGGGUUUAUAAUGGGGGUUUGGAAUUCACAUACAUCAGUAGGAAAUAUUGUUGGUUCAGUUGCGGCUUCUGCUCUUUUGGAGUAUGGUUGGGGUUGGUCAUUUGUGGUGCCUGGGGUUUUGGUGAUUUUAGUUGGGUUUUUGGUCUUUUUUUUUCUUGUGGUUAGUCCUGAAGAUACUGGACUUGAGGUCCCAACGCAAGAGAUUGAAAUGAGUCAAGAGGUGGAUGGUGAGGAGAAUGCUGAAAAAGUAGAAUCAGAGGAAACAGGGCUUAUUAGGAGUGAAAGUGAAUCAGAUUCUUUGGCUGCUAUUGGGUUCUUGGAGGCUUGGAGAUUACCUGGUGUUGCACCAUUUGCUUUUUGCCUCUUCUUUUCGAAGCUAGUUGCUUAUACAUUUCUAUAUUGGUUGCCCUUCUACAUAAGGAACACAGGUAUUUGCCUCUUCUUGCAUAUGCAUCUUCCAUUAAGAUUUUUUGAUUUAGGAUCAUGUGGUAGUUCUUGCUUGAAUUUCUAUGCAUGUACUUUGACACGGAUGGGUCUAUGAUUGGAUAUUAUGUUCUGUGACAAUACUAAAAAAUUCAGAACUCCAUGUUAUUUAUAAAAUCUGUUCGACUCAUUUUUUCCCAUUUCGUGGGGCAUUAUGGCUCAACCUUUAUUUAAAUACUCUAUUUAGGUAUUGCAAUUAUACCUUGAAGGUUAUCAUGUGUCCAAAAGGAUCUUGCAUGUUUAGGCUUGUGAUAAUUUAUUGAAUUUGUUAAGAGUAUUGGUUUUUGAUCACAAGUUUGUAUCUAAAUUGUAGCUAUUGCGGGUGUGCAUUUGUCACAUAAAACUGCUGGUAAUCUUUCAACAAUAUUCGAUAUUGGAGGAGUCUUUGGUGGAGUUUUAGCAGGGUACAUAUCAGACUUGAUUGGAGCUCGUGCAGUAACUUCAACUGUAUUCUUGUCUCUAUCAAUCCCAGCUCUUAUUAUAUAUCGGGUUUAUGGAAGUGUAUCCAUGGUCACCAAUAUUGUUUUGAUGUUUCUUUCUGGAUUGCUUGUAAAUGGCCCGUACUCACUAAUCACUACAGCUGUUGCAGCUGAUCUUGGUACCCAGGAUGCAAUUAAGGGAAAUUCUCGUGCCUUGGCUACUGUGACUGCAAUUAUAGAUGGUACUGGUUCUGCUGGGGCUGCUCUUGGUCCACUAUUGGCUGGGUAUAUUUCUACUAUAGGGUGGAAUAGUGUCUUUGCUAUGCUCAUAAUCUCUAUUUUGCUUGCAAUUAUGUUCUUGAUUCGUGUUGUGAGAACUGAGAUUAGAGGAUAGAUGAAUGAGGGAAUGGAUUUUGGCACAAAUACGAGUUGAAAGAGGGCAAGUUUUUCUCAAGGCAUCAUUUUGUUCAGAGUAGAAUAGUGAUUUCCAUAUAGAAGAUUUUUAGAUCAGAAAAUUCUCAAGUGAUAUACAUGUGUGUACAUUUUGUAUCUCAUCCUUUACACACAAAUAGUUUCUGUUUACUUUUAUUGUACAUGUACAAAUACAAAUUCAUGAAAGGCUCUUGGACCCAUCAGAUUUUUUGACCCAAAAAAAUAAAAAAUUCGUGAAAGGCUGAAUGAAUAUUCAUUAUGUCCUUUACUUUGUAUGAUAUACAAGUUUCUGCCCUUUGCUUUAUCAGUUGUGUUAUAUUUUCAAGUGUUAAGUCUUUUGACCUGUUUCUGAAAGGCACUUCUCCAAUUUCUUCCGAGUUCUUUUAGAAAUAUCAAUCUGAAUUACAUAAGCCUUGCAGCUCAAAUCCUUUGGAAUUUCUAUGUUUUGUUGGACGGAAUUUGACAAUUGGAUGUUUAUUAUUCUAUGUGAAAUAUCGAGCACCGCUAUACCUGGUAAUUGGAGGGCAACAAUGGACAGAAUUGAAUCCUAUUGCAGCAACCAUGGAGUCGCAAGCAACAUUGACUUUAACAGUUUUACCAAGCUCAUUCAGGUUAACUUGGGUUAAGUAACCUUUUUCCCAUUUUUUGUCAUAUCUUGAUCUCUGAUUUUUUCUUUUUCUAGUUCCUAUCGGAGUACCAUGUAAUUUUCUCAGAUGGUGGGAGUGCUAAACACAAGGUUUUUGGGAAAAGAUUGCUUGGUUCUGCUCAUGUCAGUCAGACCAAACUACCUGACACGGCGAAGACAUAGAGAUUGGAGGGUUUCCUCUUUAUCAAUCUACAGUAAGCCACAGUUUACUGUUAAGUACCUUGAGUGGCCAAGGACAGACAUGGUUUGUGUCUGUGCAAUGGGCCGUGAAGCUGAAGCACAGCUGUAUUGAGAAAGAUGCAGGAAGUUCUCAACUAACAUACUAAUAGUAGCAGUGAGCUUUAUGUUCACUCAAUCUUGUUCUUGAUACAGCUACAUUUACAUGAAUCCUAUUAUGUAAUUCCCAAAGAAAAUUACCACAGUGCUGAAACCUAAAAUAUUUACAAAUUUCUUACGUGGAUCCAUCCAAACUAUAGUUGAGGAAGAAAGAGAAGAAAAUAUUAGUGUGAUUGAUUACGACAGCAAUUGUUUGACCUCUCAAUUUGUAUCAUCUCUAUUUCCAUUUUCUUGAAAACUGAAUGAGCCAACAAUAAUAACAGGCAGGAGAAUUGGAGCUUCUUUUCGGCUCAACUUAUGUACAGACAAACUCUAGCAACAGCCAGUGUAGCUAUAUACCAUUAUUGACUAGUUCUACUCUAUAAGGAAGAAAAAAGAAAUGUUCAAAUCAGUUUUAAGUGAUUAUUCUUGUAACAGACAUUUGAGACUCUGAAGCCCCUCUGCGGAAAUGCUCCGCCUCACUCUUGCUCUCUGUACUGCCACGUAUGGAGGUGGCUCCAAGUGAAAGCUUACUAUCACAACCGUCAAGUUGUCAGUUGCUCCGCGUUUUAUUGCUUCGUCUACCAUUUCUUUACAACACAAUUUCACAUCAUUGUGCUCCCGAAGUCUUCUCCGGGCGAAAGCUACUGAAUUUUGGCUGGAAAAGACAUCCCAUAUUCCAUCACUUCCUAUGAUCAAAAACUCGUCUUCCUUGGUCAGUGUAAUCAGUUUAAGUUCUGGUUCAGCACUCAAGGGGCCACCCAUUUCUCCCUUCACCUUCAUCCCUUCAAGGUGCCAAUCACCUAAUGCGCGGGUAACACCUAACUGACCAUUCAGAUAACCAUCUUCAACAUAUCCUCCCAAAGACUCGACCCUUGUUUUUUCCCUAAUGCAGCAAGGCCUAUGGUCCUUUGACAUUUCUAUAGCUGUCCCGCCUCGUGAUAAUACUGCCCGACAAUCACCAGCAUUUGCCACAAGCAAAGACCUGUCCAAGAUAAUGGCAUAUUUUCAGAUAGAUAUGGCAAUAAUUUGCUGUUAUUUAUGAUUAGUUUACUUUUCAGAACUCGCCAAGCUAGCUAUACAACCACCAAUAAGUUGCACUUAUCAUAUAUUGUUUCCCUGUUUAUUUUCUUCAUUUCUAUGCCUACAGUUCAUUCUGUGACAAACGUACACCAUUAGAAGAGCAUCAUUACCAUUUAACUUGAUGAUAAUAGAUAAUUUAGGACUAGGCACCUAGAUAGGGAUAAGCCACAAAGUCCCAUUUGAACUAACAAGAAGGGAAUGGAAGGUACAGACUCCUAAAUCAACCAAAGCCAAAUGAUUGCUAAUCAUCAAUAAAAGAUAGGAGGAACUUACCUCCCAAAUAUCAUUGCAGUGAGUACAGUUGUACCAGAAGAGAGGGAAGACUCAAGGGAGCAUGUCUCAGCAAAAGCAGCAUCGGUCUCGAUAAAUGACCUUCUGACCACUUUCUCAAGUUCUAAAGGGAAAUCUGCAUCCUCAAUAAUGACUCUUGGCAAAUGGUCGCGAACAAACUGUGCCGCACUCUUUCCUCCAUGUCCAUCAAAUACCUGUUGUAUCAGACAGCUGUUAUUUCACUUGUAAAAGAAUAAUAAAAGGCGCAAAAUAUGGUACCUUGUAUGUAGUUUUUUUUCUGCAUACUUUAAUGAGACUGAUUACGAUAAGUUCAUUUCAAAUUGUGUAUCCAGAUCAAGAACUUUUAAGUACAAUUAAAAUCUAACCUAACUGCCUAUGCUAGAAAGGUGGAUACCAAUGACUGGGCUAUUAGCCUAGUGCAGUUCAACUCCCUCCUAUGACAACCUAAGUGCUUGGGGUGUACACUAGAGUCAUCCAUUAGCAAAAUCAAUUUCAAAACUCAAAUUUACUAAUGAAGUAAUUCCUGUCUCUUAGUAAAUCCUGUUUCCCAUUUUUGCAUUGUGUUAUUGAUAUAUAGGACUGAAUGCUUUUUUCAGGCUGAUGUUAUAAAAUGUAGUGAAAGGAAGAGUGCAAUUAAAGACGCAUUUCUAAUAAGUUAACAGGCCCCAAAUUAUCCAUCUUGUCUGUAAAUAUAAGUAAUUUAAUCGACAGAACACUACAUAGCCUUGUUGCCUGAAAAAUAAGGGACCUAAGCUACAAAUUCGUAUAUGAAGCAUAAGAUGGUUGCAGCUUCAUACUCUUAGUUUUGAAUUCAUAUUCACAUUUAAGGACUGCUUACCAAUUUGAGAUCAAAUUAAACCUUCCUAAACCUUUACACCUAGAAUACAAUCAGAAGUUCAACAAGAAAACAGUAAAGUAAAGAUAACUCCAUCACCAAAGGUCAUCUGUCUUGAGAGUUUGUUAAUCUAUAAAAAGCCACCCCAGAACUGGCUGACAGAGAAACUAGAAAUCUUGCUAAUUGAAGGACAAAAAUUUGUUAACAGUUGAAGAAACACAUAAAUAAGAUUAUAGGCCAAAAGAACUUACACCAUAGAAAGAGAUUGAUUCCUCACUCAGCAAAUCGUAACCAAAUUUCUUAGCUAGGUCAUUAAUGCAAAUGUGGGUAUCUUCCAUAUAAGGCCGACCACCAAUAUCUGACCAUUCUCCUGAGCGAAGGACAGGGAUAAAAUUUGUUAACAGAUUCUGUUUCCUCUCCACAGCCACUCUAUCCUCAGAAAUGCUUUCUAGCUGUAUAGCCAACAAAGUUAUACAAUUAACUGACUUAAAUGAUAACGACACAUAACCUAAAAAAGCAAUCUGUAUGCAAGAAUGAUAGAUUUAAACACUCGGGUCAAUAACAAAAUAAUUUUCCUUCAUAACAACUACAUUAUUCAUUAUUAGGCACAGUUAACAUUACAAUGAGACUGAGAGAAGCCAAGUGCUAAACCAGCACAUAUUGGUAAAUGAAUCAGUGAAGAAUGAAUCAUUUCUUUUAAUAAUUCAACAAAAGAAGGGAUUGGGAAAAAAGAACAGAACAAUACUUUUUAGUUUUAUGAGAAGAAAAACUGAAGUAGGUCAACACACUAUCAUUGCUAGGAGAGCUAAUUCCCAAUGGAACUAUGAUCAUAAGAUCAAAAGUUUAAAUGCUAGUCAGUUAGUACAGGAAGCAAUAAAUUCACAAUCUAAUUGAAACAACUAAGUUUGAUUUGUAUAUACACAUCAUCCAGCAAUGAUAUUUUUGUAAUUCCACAAGCAACUAGAGUCUAAACCUUCCACAGCAGCAUCACAAGAAGAACCAUCAAAUGCUACAAAUCAUCAGCGACUUCAAAAGCACUAAUGACAAAUUCAAUAAGAAGCAUCCAUGUAGUCUUAGCAAUUAAUAUACAGAUACCCAGAACUCAAUUUUGACAGAAAGUAACUUCAAACAUCAGUAAGAAAAGGUCAGCAGAAAAGUUUAAAAAAUAAAAAAACAAAAGAUAAGAACUUGAGACAGAAAGGAAUAGGAGAAAGAAGUGAAACCAUACAGGAGAAGAGUCGGCAACACUGAUCCCAUCACUAGAAUUAAUAAAAGAAGAGCCUUUAUCCCAAUUCUCCAUGUGAGUAUGCAAGACUUCACAAUGCAGAGGCCAAGACUGCUUCUUGGUGGUGGUGUUAUUGUUGGUAUUAUCAAGAGUCUCCAUUUCUUGACUAACCUGCUCUGCAUCCUGAACACACAUGUUAUGCUUAUGUUUACGCUGUUGAUUUUUAUUUUAUUUUUUUAAGAGAAAGGGUGUUUAUNNNAAGAGAAAGGGUGUUUAUUAUAGUCUCUUUUAGGAAACUCUGGGAAUCCAAAGACCAAAAACAGAGGAAAAAAGAGAGAGAGAAUCAAAAGAAAGAAAAAUGAUGGGGUUAGAGGGAAGAUUCUGGGAAUAUGAGGAAAAUAGAUUCUUUGUUUAUAAGAAAGAAAUACAAGAGCCGUUAAAUUGCAGAUUUUUCUAAAAAAAAAGCGUGGCUCUAAAUCAGUUGGUCGUGUUUCUAUUUUGAUCUGUUAUUUAUUUAUUUAUGUUAAAAAUAAUAAUAAAUAUUAUAUAUUUUAAUUUUCUGUUGUGUCUUGCUUUCAUUUCCUUUUUUCUGAAGGGGUUGUCAGUUAUGUCUUGUUUCUAUAUUCAGUCAGUUAUUUACUAAAUGUCAUCAGUUAUGUCUUGUUUUCAUUAUUAUUAUUAUUAUUUAGUUAAAAUAGUUUUUCAAGAAAUGCAAGGAUAUAAGAUGCUAAUGCCCAAACUUAUUCAAGAAGAAUAUCUUAUAUUUAUAUCAUUUCUAUUUAUUCUUAUUAAAGAAAAUGAAAAAUUAGAGGUAUUAUAUUUAGGAAGUAAUGAGACCUUUUUCUUUUUUCAGUCAUACGAAAUUUACAGAAGAAAUAAUCUACAAUUUAGAAUACCAACAUGAAAUUUAUCAUUAAUAUUAUUACUGACUGCAUUUUCAGUAAUAUUAUGCAAUUUUUUUUUAUGAUAUUGUACUUUUCUUAGACUAAUGUUAUACAUUUAAUUUUUAUUUAUUCUAACUAUGUUCACAUGGGCACAUAGAAUAUUUUUGUUAAAUUAUUUUUUAAUAUUUUAAAGUUAAAUAAUAAUCUAAUAAAAGAUAAAAUAAAAAUGGUAGGACAUUUAGUAUUUUUUUAAUAGUAAAAAUCUCUCUAUAUUUAAUGUUAUUAGAACUAAAACUUCUUAAAAAAGAAGUAAAAUUUAUUUAGGUCAAAUAUAUUUACACACUGAAAUUUUAAUUAUUUGGUCAUAUCAAUAUUUUAUUUUUUAAUAUAAUUUAAUCAAUAUAUCAAUUUAUAUUUUUAUGAUAUUUAAAUACUAUUUAACAUAUAGUUACGACCAACAUAUUAUUUACAUAUAUUAAAUUCUUUAAAAAAUUAUUUAAAUGUCUGUUAAAUAUUUUAAAAAAAUUAUAAAAUAUAUAGUUUAAAUAUUUUUUUCUAAUUAAUAUUUAAAAUAAGAUUAAGACGAAAAUUCAACUUAAUUCACUUUCCUUCCUACUCAACAAUGAUCCUCCUUUAAAUUAUUUAAUUUAUGGUGUGAAACAAAUCAUAUUCUUAAGCAUACCAACCCACGUUUACUUUAUAAAUUCUCCUCAUUUUUGGACCAAACAAAGAUUAAAUCUUAUAAAUGCAAAAGCAUUAAAUUAUAUUUAAUGGGUAUGGCUGAUGCAUCACGUGUUAAAUAUUUUAUUUAUCUAUUUAUUAUCAAUGUGUGGUACGUUGGCAUCCAUUUGAAAUAAUGCACACAUUUUUUGGUAGAACUUUUAUUUCUUUUCUCUUUUUUUUUUUUUUUUUAAAAAUAAUAGGAGAAAUUAUAAUUAGUUAUUAAAGAGUCAGUAUGCCAGCUGUUCCUUUACAAGGUCAGAUUCGAGUCCCAUCUAAUAAUUUCUCAAAUAACAGAGCUUUAUAUUUCUUGUAUUCUAAGAUUUUAUUCCAAUAUCUUGCAUGAAUUAAGAUAGAAUAUAUAUUUUAAUACUUGGAUUUUUAUAAUUUAAUUAUUUUAAUAUUUUAAUUUUUAAUAUAAUUUAAUGAUAUUUAAAUUUUACUUUUAUAAUUCUAUAAAUUCUUUUAAUAUUUUUUUUAACAUAAAAAUAUUUAAAUUUUAUUUUUUUAGUAACAUUUAAACACUUACAGCAGUACAUGUAAAUAUAUUAUAUAAAAUGAUAUGUCUGAAGUAUUUAAAUAUUAUAAAAAAUAAAUGUAGAUUUCUAUUAAAUUAUUUUAAAAAUUAAAAUGAUUAAAUAAACAAAAGUUAGACGAUGGUCUUCUUUUUUUAUAUAAAAAUUAAAAUAUAUUUUAUAUUGUGAAUUGAAAUUCAAAACUAUGUCGGUUGAGACCAAUAAAAAAAUCAUGAAUUAAAAAAUAAUAUCAAAAAGGCAUUUUUAUGAUAGGGACAAUUAUGACUAUUGAGGGUAAUCCAUGGGACAAAUUUCAACUUGAUACACCUCACAAAUUAACUAUCAUUGGAAUUUUCUUUCUAUCAAUCUUAUUGAUAUUCUCAAUAGAGUAAACAAAAAAAAACAAAAAAAAAAGGACCAGCAAUGUUUAGAAUCAUUGUUAAUGAUUGCAACCAAGUUUAAAAAAUAAAAUAAAAAUUGUUUUGUUCACAAAUUUACCAAAUAGCAAGUGAUCAAAAGAAUGUCUUAGUUCAUAGAUUUACUAAAUGUUGCAUCAUAAGGUUAGGUUCGUUUAAAUUAAGAAAUAAUUGCUUAAAAAGAAUUGAAAGUGAAGUCUUAUGUAAUUGAUUGGCUAGUGUGAACUAGAGGACAUUUUGAUCAAAUGGGGGAAGUGAUGUAAGACAAUGACUUUAGAUAUCUUUUUUUUCUUUUUUGCUUUCUAAAAAAGUUAAGUGAUUUCACUAAUAUCUUGUUUUUGUAAAGAAGAAAUAUCUUUCUUCAUGUUUACUGGUCCAACUUUGCUUUGAGGGUCUCUCCAAUUAGUGCCAAAAUGGUCACUAACUUAUAGAAAGGGGGUGUCUUUCUUGUAUUGUCAUGAUUGUCCUUUUUUGCAAUGCAAAGGCAAAGAAUCAUUCUCAUGAUGAUACCCUUUUACUAAUUAUAUUCAGAGGUUUUCUUCCUCUCUUGUUUAGGAAGAUUGAAACUGCUUAAUUCAAAAAAAAAAAAAUAAUAAAUAAAUAAAGUUUCCAAACUCAAUAUUUUUUCAUAAAGUUUUGUUGGUGAUACUUGUUCUGGCAGAAGAUGUAUCUUAAAUUCCUGUAAGCUUGCAUACAACAAAUCUGCAAACCCAUGUUGGGAUGCUAAAUGGGACUUUCUUUGGUCAAGCCAGGGAAAAAUAGAGGCCACUUGAUUAUAUCAUUGGGUAAGGAAUAUAUAUACAUAUAUAUUUCUUUUUGGGUCCAAUAGCUAAGAAUAUUUUCAAGUUGCUUAAAUAUAUGUGACCUUAAGGGGAGAACUCUUGGUGGAGUGACGUGGCAAGAUGUGGUUCAUCAAAGAUUUAGUGCAGCUAUGAUAGAGCUACUCAUAGAACACCACAAUAUCAUUAUGCCAGAGCUACUCAUCAAAGGUUAACAUUGCUUUACCUGAAACGAACUUUCCUUCCCAACUUCACCAAAAAGCAAGGCAAAAGAAAGGGUCACAGCUUCUUCAUCAAAGUCACGAAAGAAAGUAAAAGAAAAAAAGACAAGAACUGUAAAAGCAAUAAUCUUUUUUGCACUAAAAGGGAGAACCCUUAGCAUGGGAAUGCUGGUGGAGACUAUAUCUUUGAAUGUUUUGAAUGCUGGAAAAUUAAAUGGAAUUUUUCAAAAAUAUAUUAAAAUUAAUAAUAUUUCUACUGUGUAAUUUAAAGAAAAAUAUUUAUUUUUCAGUUGCUAUUUAAUUGUUUUUAAUCAUUUUCGAUUGUUGUUUAAAAAAAUUAAAAAAUUAACUAAACCGUAAAUUUAAAGAAAAGUAAAACUGUACCUUUAAUAUUUUAACAAAAUUAAAAAACUGUAAAUUUAAUAAAAAUAACUAAAAUUAUAAAUAUCUAUGAUAUUUGUGAGAAUUACAAAGCAAUUCUCAAGAAGAUAAUAUUAAAUAUUCUAAAUAAGGUUAUUGAUUUCGUUCUUUUCCGUCUGGAAUGAUUGAAAUGUCUCAUUUUAUUAAAAAAUGAAAUAAAAUAUUUUUUAUUCCGUAUCGGUCAAAAUUUUGAUCUUCUCAUACCGAAAUAACCGAGAUUAGAAUGAAAAUUAUCAUUCCAACCGAGAUUAACAAUAUAGGACGAAAUAAAACAACUUUAUAGAAAAAAAAUAUAUCAUUAAAUUGAAUUAAGUAAUUCAAUAACACUUAACUCUAACACACUAAAAUCUUUUUUCUCUCUAUCAAUAAAAAUGAAUUGAAAUCUAAAACUUUAAAUAAUCUCUUUAUCUUUAUCUAUCACUUCAUCUUGCCUUUACAGUUUAACCAUAUUUUCUUUUUAUUAAUUCACAUAUUUUUAUGAUCCAAUCUAUAUUAUUCAAUAAUAACAACUUAAAACUUAUAUAACUAAAUUUUUAUAGCUUUCUUCCAUAAAAUAAUAUUUUAUAAUUUAAUCAUUUAUGUUGUAGAAAGAGAUUUCAUUAUUAUAAUUUUAUAAUAAUAAAAAAUUGAAUAUAUUGUUUCCUUGUUGCUUUCCAAUAUGCCGUUUAAUUAGAUUAUUAGUAAUAAUUUUGUAAUAUUGCAUUUUAAUGAUUUAAAAUAAAAUUAUAUAUAUAAUUCGAAACAGAACACCGAAAUGCUUAAAUACCGAAAUAUUUCGUUCCAAUAAUAAAUCUGAAGCCAAAAUAAAAUUCGUAACUUUAUUCUAAACCAAGAUCCUAAAAUCACUUAGCUUCAGAAACUAUAUCAGUUCACAUCCUAUACUCAUUCAUGUCAAAAAGAUCAGAAUUACAUAAAAUUAAAUCAUGAAACCCUAAAAGAUAAGAACUGAAAACAAAAAAGAAUUUUUUUUUUUUGAAAAGUGCAAAGAAACCAGCUUUGAAAUAAUGACCAAAUAGCAGAAUUCUGUUUAAUAUCACCAGUGGCAUUUAACCAUCUCCAGUGUUCCUCCAGAUCUACUGGCAAUAAUUGAAUGCCAUCCCCAAGAUUUAGCAUCAAGCUUCAAGAAGAAAAACUUAGAACACAAUUGGCUAAUUUGCCAUUAAAUAGUGGGUGAAGUGUCAAUUUCAUAUCCACAAAUUCAUUAGUGAAACUAGAAAAGCUUAUGAAUAUAGAGAACCGACAUUGUUAGACGCCCACUUAUUGGAGAAACUCAUAAAUCCCACAACCACUACCACUAACUUCCACCACAACAAUAACAAUCACAUGGGCUAAGGUGAACCCUGGCACCAUAAAUGAAGUCAAACCAUUUAAUAUUAACAUCACUUAAAAGAUAAAUAUUAAUCACCCCCUGCAAAUGCCUAUAGACUUGCCCCAUUCACUGAGAAUUGGGCAUUAACAGAAACCUAAUCAUGUUAUAGUAUCCUAAUCAAACUCUUAGGUAUUGUUAGAAAUCUAUGAAUGUUCAAACAUCGGAUGAUUAAUAUUAAAAUAAUACUCUUUUAUUUAAAAAAUAAUUUUGAAAUAAAUUAAAUUUAUUAAAAGCAAUACUGAAAAUGAAAAUUUUUUAAUUUUCACACCUCUUUUGUGAAAAAUUAAAAUCCUUAAAAAUAAAAGAAUUUGGAGAAAGAAGAAUUUCUUAAAAUCCAUAAAUUCCGCCUAAUUCUUUACUUGCCAAACAAUGGAUUUAAACUAAAUCCAUGAAUUUCACAAAACCCAUCAUCUAUAAUUCCUUAAUCCAAACCAUCCUAAUUGACCCCUUAAUGAAAAAGUCUUCCACUCUUUUACUGAGAUUUUUAAGAGCAAAGUCCAAAAUAACUUUUAAACAGACCUUUGUUAGUAAAAGGAUUUAUAGAUUCAAACAAGUUUUAUAAGAACAGAUGUCCGUAAGCAAGUUAAUCCAUGACCUAGAUGAAAAAUAAUAUACUUCCUACCAAGAAACAGUAUCAAUUCAUACAAGAACACUCAGCAUGAAACAUCAAAUUUCCACUAUUGGAAAAGGAAAAAAUUGAAAAAAAAAAAAUUAAAACCAAAGGGCAAUCUGACAUUUAACAAAUGAUCUUAUAAGGAAACCAAAAGAAAAAGGAAGCAUCUAAUGGCCCAUAUAAUCGCCAAUUAGAUGCUGUUCAAAACUUUCAAAACCUUGUCAUGCAACCUUAGCAGCCAAACAAUAUCUGAGUGUCAAACUUCACAUCCCAGUGAAGGCCUUUUUCCCACCCCCAGAAGAUCCAGCAGGAAUCACCUUAAGGACAUUGAAUCUUACAGUCUUUGACAGAGGCCUGCAGUUGCCAAAUAUAUGAAAGGAAAAAUGAGCAAUAACAAUUAGAAACUGCAGAUCAAACAGUAAAAAUAAUGGUAAAAAAAAAAUAUACAUAAGAGAUUCUUUUAUCUGAAAUUACCUGCAUUGCCCAAUAAUGACAUGAUCCCCUUCUUUCACACGGAAACACGGAGAUAUGUGUGCUGGGAUAUUUGAAUGUCUCUUUUCAUAUCUAAGACCAAGGGGACAGAAAAAUUAUUUUUCCUUAUGAGAAAUGAAAAGCAUAAAAAGACAACCUAAAAAAUAAGGUUAGAGCAUGCCUUUGGUAUUUCUUGAUGAAGUGAAGGUAAUUCCGACGAACAAUGAUGCUCCUCAUCAUCUUGGCACUGUGACAAGUUCCAGCUAGGAUACGUCCCCUGAUAGACACAGUUCCAGUGAAGGGGCAUUUCUUAUCAAUGUAAGUUCCUGUAAGAAACAAUCAUUAAUAUUGUUUUUUACAUAAAAUAAUUAUAUAAAUAUAUUGAGAGCUAGGAGCAUGUCUAAUUGGUAUCAUGAACAAGCACAGAUAACAAAGUAAACAUAUGAUUAUAAGAAGGAAAAAGAAGAUGACACAAUAACAUUCAUAAAACCACCAGAAACCUUUGCCUCAGGUUCAUGGCUUAUCUUGUGCAAGGACUGCAACCCACUCUUGUGAGUUCAAUGUCAUCUAUCUAAAAAUAAUGAAAAAAGCAUCUUAUUUAUCCAGAUUACACUAUGAAAUGUAAUUUGAUAAAUGCAAUAUUUACAUUCCUAUUAGUUGCCGAUUCUCUUAAUGCAACUCCAUCUCAAAUGAAGCCGGUCUAAACAAUUUGAGGUUUACCAGACUGACCUUUGCCAUUUAACACUAUAAUAUCUUUUCACAUCCCUUCAAUUAAAACCACUCCUAACACGUGCAAUGCGUUUACUUCUUUUGCAGAACAAGGCAACAGCCAGGUUAAUAAGCUAAUAAAAAAAAGGAAAAACUAAAGUUACACAUAUCCUCAACAGAUAAAUCCAUCCUUUUUUGUUUCAAUCUAACUAAUACAUUCACUGAAAAAACUCAUCAACCAAUCAAUAUAAAGCAACUUGAUUGCAACACAAACACAAACACAAACCUUUCUUACACAGCUUUGCUUGACCACAAUACAGCCCAAGCUGCACUUACCAAAACUAGGUAUAUCUUCAAAGAAAACUAGCCAACAUGACACAAUUUGCAAUGCUGAAUCUAGUACAACUAUGUAAAUGACCUAAAAGCAAAAUGCAAUAUUUCAACAGUGGCUUGCCACCGAAGAACAGAACAUACAAUAUUAUAACAUCACAAAUGACGGUAAACCUAUACCAUACAGCAGAAACCAAGUAAACACAAAAUGAAAAAGGUCCUAAAAAAUCUAGCAUAAGCUCUGAUCAAACUUAAAAGAACCGACAGAAGUUGGACUAACAACAAAAUUACACCUAUAGCUUGAAAGCAUACCAAUUCGUGGUGACCCAAUGUGCAUUUUUACAUCAUAUGACAAACAAAUACAUGAUAAAGUAGAAGAUCUUAACAUUCUAAAAAAUGGCACCCAAUAGAACCAGUGAGUGGUUAUUACUGGUAAACUUCAAAUUAAAGCGCCAAAAAAAUAAAAAGAACCUUCAAUGGCUUCUCUUGGAGUCUUGAAACCCAAUCCAACGCUUUUCCAAAAACGAUUGCCACCUUUUCCAGGCCUCUUUCCCUUUCCAGUUUUUUUUGAACUGCAAUAGAAUCAUCUCCUCAAAGUUUGAAUUAAGCAAAUAGCCAAAUAACAAAACCCACAUUCAAACUGAAAAGUUUGAACUUUUUUUUUCUAAAGUUCAUAUUCACCUGAGAAAGACUUUGGGUUGUUUCAGAAAGGCCUUCUCAGUCUGCAAUAAACAAUAAGCAGAGACAACCGUUAAAACCCUAAAACCGCUGCAACUUUAGCUACAAAGAACAGAAAUAAAAAAAUUAGGAUGCGAAAAGGCACCUGCUCCGCCAUGGUUUCCCGUUAAAUGUGCGUGCGUGGGUGCGUGUGUCUGGGAUGGUGCAGCUGAAACGGCAGAGUUAAAGAGAGCUACACUGACUGCAGGCGAGAACACUUUAAACCCUAAAUUCGGUGAGAUAAUGUAACUCAAUGAUAAUGGGCUAUUCAUAGAUUGGCCCAAUAUAACUUUUAAGGGAAGCUUUUGGGCUGAGGUUAGCGGUAAUAAUUACAAAUACUCAUAGUUCUGUUCUGUUUAUAUGCCGGAAUAAUAAAUUUUAAUAUUUUAUGUAUUUAUUAAAUAAAAAUCAUAAAAUUUGAUAUUAAAUUAUAUAAAAGUUCUUUUUUAAAAAGAAUUACAUAAAAAUAUUUAAUAUGUAAUUUUAUAUAAAAAUAACAGGUUAAAAUAUUUUAUAUAAAUUUAAUCAAAUAUUACAAAAAAAAUUUAAAGUAAAAGUAAUAGAAAUUACUAUGAAUUAUGGUAUUCUAAAAUUCAUCUAGAUUCCAAGUUUGUGUUUCCUAUAGGUAAUUACAGUCCUUGCAUUAAAAAAAGGAAAAAAAAAAAAAAAAAACUAGUACUUCGAAGUGAAAGAAAAAACUAAAUUCAAUACCACAAAUAUAAAAUUUUGUUCGUCUGGUUUGCUGUUUUAUUUUUUUCAGUAAUGACGACCGGGUGGAAGUUUCACCAUCCCCAUGAAAUUGUCUUUAAACAGGGCAUCUUGUGUGUAUUUCUCUGAAAUUUUUUAAGAAACUUAAUGAGGCUGUUUUUACAUAAUUUGAGCAUCAGGAAUCUAAUGGAAUUCAUUGAUUAUCAAACUGUACUUUGAUUUACCAAGCCUCUUGAAUUAUUAUUACUUAUCAAACUAUAUGGUACAAAUGAGGCAAAUUAACAUCCAUAAUCCCUCAAUAUAAAAAGAGAAAAAAAAAAAAAAAAAAAAAACUGAGUGUAAUCAUGNNNAGUGUAAUCAUGCACACCGCAAAUGAUAAAAUGAACACAACAGUUUAAUAGACGGGAGAUAUCAAUGAGAGGAAUAUAAACAAAAUUUCUAACACAUUGGAUACCAUAUAAUAUGAAGUUCAUAAUGGAGACUUAAAAACACUUCAGAUUUUGGUAUGGACAUUGACUGUAAUUUUCUACAUACAAGUUUUUGCACAUGAGGAAGUUGCUAAUCCAUCCAAAUUACAUUCUAUUGUUUCAAGUAAUAAUAUUUAGGUCAAGAAUAAAAAGAAGUGGAGUAAUAUUAAUAAAUCUUUUCCCUCAGUUAUCAGAAUAAUGGGCCGUGAGUAGAGUUGAAUCGAGUUGAGUUUCACAGGGAAAGUUUGCUGUCUGAGACUUUGUAUUUUCAAUAACUAUCACAAUCAAGAGUUGCAUAAUUCCAUAAAGAUUAUGCAAGAAGCUUGCUUCUAAUUUCUGAUUAUGAAACUUUCACCAAUGCACUCAAUCUAAGAUUAAAGAAAAUCAUACCAAACACCAGGUGACACCUUCAUGCAAGUUUCACAAGCAUUUCCAUCAGCAUGAGGAUCGACAACCUUCACAAAUUUACCAAUUACAUAGAUUACAGCUCUUAUCGACAGAAAAGAGGGGCGGAUGGGGGAGCUUCAUUCAAUAUAAAGCGCCCUUGAAAAAAAUAUUAUAUGGACCUAUAGAAAGAUAGAAUCCAGACCAGAAGUAAUGCAGGGCUAGAUUGCCUAGAAUGAUACAAGUUAUUGAAAGAAAACUAAGUAUUACUUCUCAAGAUAUUGCCUAUAAAAUCUCACGCCAUCCUGUUUGCAAUGAUGAAAACAAGACAAGAUAGUAUUCACCUGUCCAACAAAUAGAACUAUUUAAAUCCCCUGCCAUCAUUAAUCACAACUUCAGCAUUGCUUAAAUCCUCUUUCUUCAUGUUAAAUCACUCUGUCUGCAUUGUGAAGAGAAAAUAGUAUUAAUAACUUUUGCAGCAUGAGGAGGCAAAUUCAUCUCAUAAUCUUAUUGCCUAAGUUAACAUCAGUGAAAGCAUCUACAUAUUAUGUUAUUUCCAAUCUAUGUUUUAGAAUAUAAUAUAUAGUAAAGGAAAACUGCAUAAAGUACUGGCAAAAAAUUUUCCCUCCGUAUUUAGUACACUGCACAUAUUUACAGAUAAUUCUGAGCAACAUUUUCUAUGCCUCUUCCUUAGUAAGAUUCAACAGCAACAGCAAGACUUUUCAUCUUAUCUCUUCUAAAGCAUAAAACAAAU